GACGAACGCUGGCGGCGUGCUUAACACAUGCAAGUCGAACGGAAAGGCCCUGCUUUUGUGGGGUGCUCGAGUGGCGAACGGGUGAGUAACACGUGAGUAACCUGCCCUUGACUUUGGGAUAACUUCAGGAAACUGGGGCUAAUACCGGAUAGGAGCUCCUGCUGCAUGGUGGGGGUUGGAAAGUUUCGGCGGUUGGGGAUGGACUCGCGGCUUAUCAGCUUGUUGGUGGGGUAGUGGCUUACCAAGGCUUUGACGGGUAGCCGGCCUGAGAGGGUGUCCGGCCACAUUGGGACUGCGAUACGGCCCAGACUCCUACGGGAGGCAGCAGUGGGGAAUAUUGCACAAUGGGCGGAAGCCUGAUGCAGCAACGCCGCGUGCGGGAUGACGGCCUUCGGGUUGUAAACCGCUUUCGCCUGUGACGAAGCGUGAGUGACGGUAAUGGGUAAAGAAGCACCGGCUAACUACGUG
rnacentral:rRNA from 1 species